rnacentral:rRNA from 1 species
CCUACGGGAGGCAGCAGUGAGGAAUAUUGGUCAAUGGACGCAAGCCUGAACCAGCCAUGUCGCGUGCAGGAUGACUGCUCUACGAGUUGUAAACUGCUUUUGUAAAGGGGUAAAGGGAGACACGUGUACCUUUCUGUAUGUACUUUAUGAAUAAGGAUCGGCUAACUCCGUGCCAGCAGCCGCGGUAAUACGGAGGAUUCGAGCGUUGUCCGGAUUUAUUGGGUUUAAAGGGUGCGUAGGCGGGCUUUUAAGUUAGCGGUAAAAAUUCGGGGCUCAACCCCGUCCGGCCGUUGAAACUGGUGGGCUUGAGUGGGCGAGAGGAAGGCGGAAUGCAUGGUGUAGCGGUGAAAUGCAUAGAGAUCACGCAGAACACCGAUUGCGAAGGCAGCCUUCCGGCGCCCUACUGACGCUGAGGCACGAAAGUGUGGGGAGCGAACAGGAUUAGAUACCCCGGUAGUC